rnacentral:rRNA from 1 species
GACGAACGCUGGCGGCGCGCCUAACACAUGCAAGUCGAACGGAGUCAAGAGGAGCUUGCUUUUCUUGACUUAGUGGCGAACGGGUGAGUAACGAGUGAGUAACCUGCCCUGGAUUGGGGGACAACAGUUGGAAACGACUGCUAAUACCGCAUAAGCCCACGUAUCUGCAUGGAUCUGCGGGAAACGGAUUUAUUCGCUCUAGGUUGGACUCGCGUCCAAUUAGCUAGUUGGUGAGGUAACGGCCCACCAAGGCGCCGAUUGGUAGCCGGACUGAGAGGUUGAACGGCCACACUGGGACUGAGACACGGCCCAGACUCCUACGGGAGGCAGCAGUGGGUGAUAUUGCACAAUGGGGGAAACCCUGAUGCAGCGACGCCGCGUGGAGGAAGAAGGUUUUCGGAUUGUAAACUCCUGUCGUUAGGGACGAUAAUGACGGUACCUAACAAGAAAGCACCAGCUAACUACGUG